rnacentral:rRNA from 1 species
CGCGUAGGCGGGAUGGCAAGUCGGUCGUGAAAUCCCUCGGCUCAACUGAGGAACGUCGAUCGAAACUGCCGUUCUUGAGGGUUGCAGAGGAGACUGGAAUUCCCGGUGUAGCGGUGAAAUGUGUAGAGAUCGGGAGGAACACCGGUGGCGAAGGCGGGUCUCUGGGCAAUUCCUGACGCUGAGGCGCGAAAGCGUGGGGAGCAAACGGGAUUAGAUACCCCGGGUAGUCCACGCUGUAAACGAUGACGACUAGGUGUGGGGGGGUUCAGUCCCUUCCGUGCCGCAGCUAACGCAUUAAGUCGUCCGCCUGGGGAGUACGGCCGCAAGUUGAA